GAUGAACGCUGGCGGCGUGCCUAAUACAUGCAAGUCGAGCGAACAGACGAGGAGCUUGCUCCUAUGACGUUAGCGGCGGACGGGUGAGUAACACGUGGAUAACCUACCUAUAAGACUGGGAUAACUUCGGGAAACCGGAGCUAAUACCGGAUAAUAUAUUGAACCGCAUGGUUCAAUAGUGAAAGACGGCUUUGCUGUCACUUAUAGAUGGAUCCGCGCCGCAUUAGCUAGUUGGUAAGGUAACGGCUUACCAAGGCGACGAUGCGUAGCCGACCUGAGAGGGUGAUCGGCCACACUGGAACUGAGACACGGUCCAGACUCCUACGGGAGGCAGCAGUAGGGAAUCUUCCGCAAUGGGCGAAAGCCUGACGGAGCAACGCCGCGUGAGUGAUGAAGGUCUUCGGAUCGUAAAACUCUGUUAUUAGGGAAGAACAAAUGUGUAAGUAACUAUGCACGUCUUGACGGUACCUAAUCAGAAAGCCACGGCUAACUACGUG
rnacentral:rRNA from 1 species